UACGUAGGCAGCAAGCGUUGUUCGGAAUUACUGGGCGUAAAGAGUGCGUAGGCGGUUCCGCAAGUUUGUCGUGAAAUCUCCCGGCUUAACUGGGAGGGUGCGGCGAAGACUGCGGGGCUGGAGUGUGGGAGAGGUAAGCGGAAUUCCUGGUGUAGCGGUGAAAUGACGUAGAUAUCAGGAGGAACACCGGCGGUGUAGACGGCUUACUGGACCAUGACUGACGCUGAGGCACGAAAGCGUGGGGAGCAAACAGG
rnacentral:rRNA from 1 species